GACGAACGCUGGCGGCGUGCCUAAUACAUGCAAGUUGAGCGCUGAAGGUUGGUACUUGUACCAACUGGAUGAGCAGCGAACGGGUGAGUAACGCGUGGGGAAUCUGCCUUUGAGCGGGGGACAACAUUUGGAAACGAAUGCUAAUACCGCAUAAAAACUUUAAACACAAGUUUUAAGUUUGAAAGAUGCAAUUGCAUCACUCAAAGAUGAUCCCGCGUUGUAUUAGCUAGUUGGUGAGGUAAAGGCUCACCAAGGCGAUGAUACAUAGCCGACCUGAGAGGGUGAUCGGCCACAUUGGGACUGAGACACGGCCCAAACUCCUACGGGAGGCAGCAGUAGGGAAUCUUCGGCAAUGGACGAAAGUCUGACCGAGCAACGCCGCGUGAGUGAAGAAGGUUUUCGGAUCGUAAAAACUCUGUUGGUAGAGAAAGAA
rnacentral:rRNA from 1 species